rnacentral:rRNA from 1 species
UACGUAGGUGGCAAGCGUUGUCCGGAAUUAUUGGGCGUAAAGCGCGCGCAGGCGGUCCUUUUAAGUCUGAUGUGAAAGCCCACGGCUCAACCGUGGAGGGUCAUUGGAAACUGGGGGGACUUGAGUGCAGAAGAGGAAAGCGGAAUUCCACGUGUAGCGGUGAAAUGCGAGAGAUGUGGAGGAACACCAGUGGCGAAGGCGGCUUUCUGGUCUG